rnacentral:rRNA from 1 species
UACGUAGGGGGCUAGCGUUAUCCGGAAUUACUGGGCGUAAAGGGUGCGUAGGUGGUUUCUUAAGUCAGAGGUGAAAGGCUACGGCUCAACCGUAGUAAGCCUUUGAAACUGGGAAACUUGAGUGCAGGAGAGGAGAGUGGAAUUCCUAGUGUAGCGGUGAAAUGCGUAGAUAUUAGGAGGAACACCAGUUGCGAAGGCGGCUCUCUGGACUGUAACCGGCACUGAGGCACGAAAGCGUGGGGAGCAGACAGG